rnacentral:rRNA from 1 species
GUUAAGCGACUAAGCGUACACGGUGGAUGCCCUGGCAGUCAGAGGCGAUGAAGGACGUGCUAAUCUGCGAUAAGCGUCGGUAAGGUGAUAUGAACCGUUAUAACCGGCGAUUUCCGAAUGGGGAAACCCAGUGUGUUUCGACACACUAUCAUUAACUGAAUCCAUAGGUUAAUGAGGCGAACCGGGGGAACUGAAACAUCUAAGUACCCCGAGGAAAAGAAAUCAACCGAGAUUCCCCCAGUAGCGGCGAGCGAACGGGGAGGAGCCCAGAGCCUGAAUCAGUGUGUGUGUUAGUGGAAGCGUCUGGAAAGGCGCGCGAUACAGGGUGACAGCCCCGUACACAAAAAUGCACAUGCUGUGAGCUCGAUGAGUAGGGCGGGACACGUGGUAUCCUGUCUGAAUAUGGGGGGACCAUCCUCCAAGGCUAAAUACUCCUGACUGACCGAUAGUGAACCAGUACCGUGAGGGAAAGGCGAAAAGAACCCCGGCGAGGGGAGUGAAAAAGAACCUGAAACCGUGUACGUACAAGCAGUGGGAGCACGCUUAGGCGUGUGACUGCGUACCUUUUGUAUAAUGGGUCAGCGACUUAUAUUCUGUAGCAAGGUUAACCGAAUAGGGGAGCCGAAGGGAAACCGAGUCUUAACUGGGCGUUAAGUUGCAGGGUAUAGACCCGAAACCCGGUGAUCUAGCCAUGGGCAGGUUGAAGGUUGGGUAACACUAACUGGAGGACCGAACCGACUAAUGUUGAAAAAUUAGCGGAUGACUUGUGGCUGGGGGUGAAAGGCCAAUCAAACCGGGAGAUAGCUGGUUCUCCCCGAAAGCUAUUUAGGUAGCGCCUCGUGAAUUCAUCUCCGGGGGUAGAGCACUGUUUCGGCAAGGGGGUCAUCCCGACUUACCAACCCGAUGCAAACUGCGAAUACCGGAGAAUGUUAUCACGGGAGACACACGGCGGGUGCUAACGUCCGUCGUGAAGAGGGAAACAACCCAGACCGCCAGCUAAGGUCCCAAAGUCAUGGUUAAGUGGGAAACGAUGUGGGAAGGCCCAGACAGCCAGGAUGUUGGCUUAGAAGCAGCCAUCAUUUAAAGAAAGCGUAAUAGCUCACUGGUCGAGUCGGCCUGCGCGGAAGAUGUAACGGGGCUAAACCAUGCACCGAAGCUGCGGCAGCGACGCUGAUGCGUUGUUGGGUAGGGGAGCGUUCUGUAAGCCUGCGAAGGUGUGCUGUGAGGCAUGCUGGAGGUAUCAGAAGUGCGAAUGCUGACAUAAGUAACGAUAAAGCGGGUGAAAAGCCCGCUCGCCGGAAGACCAAGGGUUCCUGUCCAACGUUAAUCGGGGCAGGGUGAGUCGACCCCUAAGGCGAGGCCGAAAGGCGUAGUCGAUGGGAAACAGGUUAAUAUUCCUGUACUUGGUGUUACUGCGAAGGGGGGACGGAGAAGGCUAUGUUGGCCGGGCGACGGUUGUCCCGGUUUAAGCGUGUAGGCUGGUUUUCCAGGCAAAUCCGGAAAAUCAAGGCUGAGGCGUGAUGACGAGGCACUACGGUGCUGAAGCAACAAAUGCCCUGCUUCCAGGAAAAGCCUCUAAGCAUCAGGUAACAUCAAAUCGUACCCCAAACCGACACAGGUGGUCAGGUAGAGAAUACCAAGGCGCUUGAGAGAACUCGGGUGAAGGAACUAGGCAAAAUGGUGCCGUAACUUCGGGAGAAGGCACGCUGAUAUGUAGGUGAAGUCCCUUGCGGAUGGAGCUGAAAUCAGUCGAAGAUACCAGCUGGCUGCAACUGUUUAUUAAAAACACAGCACUGUGCAAACACGAAAGUGGACGUAUACGGUGUGACGCCUGCCCGGUGCCGGAAGGUUAAUUGAUGGGGUCAGCGCAAGCGAAGCUCUUGAUCGAAGCCCCGGUAAACGGCGGCCGUAACUAUAACGGUCCUAAGGUAGCGAAAUUCCUUGUCGGGUAAGUUCCGACCUGCACGAAUGGCGUAAUGAUGGCCAGGCUGUCUCCACCCGAGACUCAGUGAAAUUGAACUCGCUGUGAAGAUGCAGUGUACCCGCGGCAAGACGGAAAGACCCCGUGAACCUUUACUAUAGCUUGACACUGAACAUUGAGCCUUGAUGUGUAGGAUAGGUGGGAGGCUUUGAAGUGUGGACGCCAGUCUGCAUGGAGCCGACCUUGAAAUACCACCCUUUAAUGUUUGAUGUUCUAACGUUGACCCGUAAUCCGGGUUGCGGACAGUGUCUGGUGGGUAGUUUGACUGGGGCGGUCUCCUCCUAAAGAGUAACGGAGGAGCACGAAGGUUGGCUAAUCCUGGUCGGACAUCAGGAGGUUAGUGCAAUGGCAUAAGCCAGCUUGACUGCGAGCGUGACGGCGCGAGCAGGUGCGAAAGCAGGUCAUAGUGAUCCGGUGGUUCUGAAUGGAAGGGCCAUCGCUCAACGGAUAAAAGGUACUCCGGGGAUAACAGGCUGAUACCGCCCAAGAGUUCAUAUCGACGGCGGUGUUUGGCACCUCGAUGUCGGCUCAUCACAUCCUGGGGCUGAAGUAGGUCCCAAGGGUAUGGCUGUUCGCCAUUUAAAGUGGUACGCGAGCUGGGUUUAGAACGUCGUGAGACAGUUCGGUCCCUAUCUGCCGUGGGCGCUGGAGAACUGAGGGGGGCUGCUCCUAGUACGAGAGGACCGGAGUGGACGCAUCACUGGUGUUCGGGUUGUCAUGCCAAUGGCACUGCCCGGUAGCUAAAUGCGGAAGAGAUAAGUGCUGAAAGCAUCUAAGCACGAAACUUGCCCCGAGAUGAGUUCUCCCUGACUCCUUGAGAGUCCUGAAGGAACGUUGAAGACGACGACGUUGAUAGGCCGGGUGUGUAAGCGCAGCGAUGCGUUGAGCUAACCGGUACUAAUGAACCGUGAGGCUUAACCU